UACGUAGGUGGCAAGCGUUGUCCGGAGUUAUUGGGCGUAAAGCGCGUGUAGGCGGCCAGGUAGGUCCGAUGUGAAAUCUGGAGGCUCAACCUCCAGCGGUCAUUGGAAACCAUCUGGCUAGAGUCCGGAAGAGGAGAGUGGAAUUCCUGGUGUAGCGGUGAAAUGCGCAGAUAUCAGGAAGAACACCGAUGGCGAAGGCAGCUCUCUGGGACGGUACUGACGCUGAGACGCGAAAGCGUGGGGAGCGAACAGG
rnacentral:rRNA from 1 species